rnacentral:rRNA from 1 species
ACACUCCUACGGGAGGCAGCAGUGGGGAAUUUUGGACAAUGGGCGAAAGCCUGAUCCAGCAAUGCCGCGUGAGUGAAGAAGGCCUUCGGGUUGUAAAGCUCUUUUGUCAGGGAAGAAACGGUGAGAGCUAAUAUCUCUUGCUAAUGACGGUACCUGAAGAAUAAGCACCGGCUAACUACGUGCCAGCAGCCGCGGUAAUACGUAGGGUGCAAGCGUUAAUCGGAAUUACUGGGCGUAAAGCGUGCGCAGGCGGUUUUGUAAGUCUGAUGUGAAAUCCCCGGGCUCAACCUGGGAAUUGCAUUGGAGACUGCAAGGCUAGAAUCUGGCAGAGGGGGGUAGAAUUCCACGUGUAGCAGUGAAAUGCGUAGAUAUGUGGAGGAACACCGAUGGCGAAGGCAGCCCCCUGGGUCAAGAUUGACGCUCAUGCACGAAAGCGUGGGGAGCAAACAGGAUUAGAUACCCUUGUAGUCCCAUGA